rnacentral:sRNA from 1 species
AGUGUCGAUCGAGACACCGCGACGGUUGUCACGGGCUCGAGGGGAGUACCGGGCCAUGACACAAAUAUUGUUUUUGGUCAGACGGGGCUUGUAUCUGGGGGUUUAGGGAUGUAAUGCAUCCUACUGUUAUAAUUGAUGUGACACAUCUAAAAGGCAGGUUCAAAGGUAUUCUGUUUGUCACUAUAUGCAAAGAUGCGAAUGAGUGCGUAUAUCCAAUUGCAUUUGGCAUAGGCCAUGUUGAGGAUGAAGACUUGUGAACGUGGUUUCUUAGCAAGUUGCGUGAUGAGAUUGGUUGUCCUAAAAACCCUAUGUUCAUUUCUGAUCAGCAUCUCAGCAUUAAGAAAGUAAUCCAAAAUGCAUACCUAGAAGCGCACCAUAGUUUAUAUGGUUACCAUAUAAAGAAAAACUUUAAAAACAAGUUCAAGCGCGAUGACGUUUCUAUGAUUUUCUCCCUUGCUCGAGAUUGCUAUAAGGUUUUCGAUUUUAACAGGCAUAUGAACCAGCUCAAGCAAAUUCACACGAGAGCCCACUCUAACCUUAUGAGACUAAGCCUUAAGAGAUGGGCAUGUGCACGUUCACCGGCAAGGCGAUGCUAACUCAUGACAUUCAACAUUGGUGAAUGUGUUAACUCAUGCUUGAAGCAUGCAUGACAAAUGUCAAUCACUAUUUUGAUCGAGUUCAUCAAAGACAUGUUCCAGCUUUGGUUCCAUGAUUGGUACCAAAAGGCUGUCAAGGUGACCACACCUCUCGGCCCUUAGGUUGCCAGGUAGUUGAGCAAACAAUUCAAUGAUGCACAUCGCUUUAUAGUUAAACCUAUCAAUCGAGUGGAGUUCGAAGUUAAAGAUGGGAAGAUGGACGAACUUGUAAAGUUGUCCAAGAAGACGUGUUCAUGUUGUGAGUUCCAAACAGAUCUACUACCAUGCAGCCAUGCCAUUGUGACAAUAAGGUCAGGAUAUCUUUAUUUCUUAUUUGAAGCCUAAUUAACAUAACAUUUACAUUAUGCUUGAACAUUGAGUUCAUUGUAUUUUUCAAUAAAUGCAAAUGUGAAGCUGUUGAAUUCUGCGUUGAUUACUAUAAGACAACCGUUUUGAUGAAGGGUUAUGUGGGGUCCAUUCUCCCAAUAGGGCAUCUCAAUGAGUGGGACAUCCCCCUUCAUGUGAAACAAAUUGUCGUUUUGCUACCACCUUGUCGUUUUGUAUAAGUGAUUAUCGACACAUACUGACUCCUUAGUGGUAAUUGUUUGGAAUGAUAACCUUUCUGCACCUAGAAUUAGCCACGUAUGAGAAAUCCCUACAUUUUGCCUUUCUUGAUAACUGUCAUCGAGCAAUAUCUAAGGCAAAUGAAUCUCGUUCUCACCAGCGAUGGGGUUUUUGUAUAUGAGGUCAUCACAUUGAACAUCUCCUACAUCAACACCUCCAACAGGCCCGUCAUCUGAAUUAUCAUCAAAUCUAUCUUCAUCGGCAGGGAACAAAUCCUCAUUUUCCUCAUCAAUUGAGUGUUAUCCUCGAGCAUCGCAGUGUCACCCUCUAACGUCACAAUGUUGUCCUCAAGUGUCGUAGUCUUAUUUGAAAAUGGCAUUACACCCUCUACAGUUUCACCUGAUCGUUGCAUUUGUUGGACAAAAGCAAGUAAUUGGUUCGAUGCACAUGUUGAUCGAAAUUCUGCAGCCAACUAUUUUGUGAAUGUCGUGUGUCUAUCGGGUUGCACAAACUUUGUGCAUACGUCAAUUGCCAUUGUUAUGGGUUACGGACCGAAUGCUGUGGUAUAUGUGAUGCACUAUAAAUCUCAUUUUAAUUGAGCUGAUUACCAUGUUGUACAGCUUCUUCAUGUGACAUAACAUUUGUUUGGCGUUUCUUAAUGGUAACAUACACAGCUGAAACAUUCCUAUGUUCUAGCAAAAUUAAUGCAACAUCCUCAUCAUCCUUGAUAUUUGGGUGUGAUA